rnacentral:misc_RNA from 1 species
CAAGAAGCCGAAAGGCUACUUCAAACCAUCGCGAACUCGUCCAAGUUGCUUCGGCGGCGCGGCACCCCUUAACGGGGGCGCCGCAGCCCUGCCUCUCCGGAGGUUCGGGGCGCCCGCCGGAGGUACGAAACUCUGUAUUAUAGUGGCAUCUCUGAGUAUAAAACAAAUAAGUUA